rnacentral:rRNA from 1 species
AUGCAGAAGCUGGACCAAGUACAGGACCUAAUACAAUUGAAAAGAAGAACAGAAAAAAGAGCUGCUAAACUUCAAUCUCCCAAUCCACCCAAGAAACUCAAAAUAUCUCGAGAAGUGGAUAUCUUCUUUUCCAAAUAUCUGAGGAAGCCUAUCUUCCAACAAUACACACUUUUUGUUGACAUAGAGGGCUUUCCUGUAAGCUAUGCGAAUUACUUAAAUUCAUUUAAAGCGAGGGGUGAGAUUGGAGAUGAAGUGAGGAGUUCAUUUAUUCAAGUUCUUACUACGAAUCAAAGAUGUCAUGUGAAGUAA